GUUAACAUCCAGAGAGGAAGAGAAGUGUCUCAUCCGGCUGUGGCUGUCCUUGCCUUUCCGCUCCUGUCACCCAGACCUGGCACUGGGCUCCCCAGCGACCAUCUGCCUGCAGCUCUGCAGGGAGCACUGCUCCACGCAGCGCCCAGACAGACAGACCUACGUGAAAAGAUGGUGCAAGCCUCGAGGAACCUAGUUGUUAAAGAGAGACAGGAAUAUGCAAGUAAUUUAAUUUUUCAUGCAAAACUCUGCUAGGAACUACUAGACUUUCCAAAAUGUAUUCCAAAGAAAUGCAGAGAUAGAUUCCCGACCGGCAUUAAUCAGUGCUGAUUAAGUCAUGAAGCUACCCAAUUUCUGCCUGGUGUUUGUUUGAGGCUUUGGGCCUUGGAAGAUACCAGGACUAGGACUGCACUAGGACUGUGUCCCUGUCCCUACAACCUGCCACUGUCAGGAAAAGUUGCUUACUUACAGCAGAGGUGGAGCUGCCUCUACAGUGAUACAAGGAGAUAGGGUUAGCACAAGACAAGUAAAAACACGUUGCACUGAUGGUGCAGAGGUUUGAGAGAAUGUGCAAAGCACAGGCUCCUGGGAAAUGGACAUUGUCACAUGCGGCUCGUUAGCACACUGAAGCUCUGACCUAGCAAAUAUUUACAUGCACUUAAGUGCACAUUUGAAAGGGCUAAAUAUACACCUGCUCCCCGCUUCAGCUGCCAGACAUCUCUAGACUCUGCAUUUGGUGCAAAUGUCUUUGCCUCAAAAACAUAUGCUGCAGUUUUUCUGAAGACGUAGGUGUAUUUUUAUAAUGGUUUGGUGCUGUUAUUGUAAAAGUAAGCUUUUUUUUUUGAGUUCUUCUCUCAACACGUCAUAGAGUAUCCAACCAGCAUCCUGAGCAAUGUUUGACUUAGGAGAAUUUGGGGCUUCUCCCCCUCUCCAGCUUCCUUUCCUCUCUGCAGAGCCAGGUACCUUGGAAAUACUGCCCACGACCAUGAGGUCAGCCAGAGCCUCCUCCUCCCCUGCCCGGAGCUCCCACUGCAGCCUGAGCAUCCCUGCCUGUGGACCACCUCCACCACGAGACAGCAGCCCCAAAGAGCCUCACCUGAUCUCCUAAACAGGAGUCUCUGGGGCAAUCAGCCCUGGCAUCUCAGGAAGAAGGAUCUCAGGAUUUCACAGCUCCUGCCUGACUGCCAUGCCAGCCCUGCCUCUCCUGCUGUGGGACUGCCAGCCUGGGGAGCACUUUUCACCCUCACUGCCCUCUCUGCUCUGCUGAGCACCCAGCCACCACCUCCUCCCCUCCCCUCUCUCUUGGCACGCUGCCACUCAAACCCACUAGGGAGCUUCAGGAUUUUUUAUUCUCUGGUGGGAAAUUUCAUUUGACCCUUUCAAGUGGGACAAGAAGAGAUAUUAGAUUUGUUGACAAUGAAGUGCUUUUAUCUGAAUUCAACAAAAGAGGUACAAUGAAAAGAUUGCAGCUGUUGAACAAAAGCACUGCACCUAUUACAGAGUUCAUAUGCAUUUACAAGUGGCACAUCAGUGAAGGCUCUUGCAGAUGUACCCUCCUUCCAGAGAAGACUUGUUAAUCUCUCCCUCAGCUCUGCCUGCUGUACAUACCCUUGGGAAAAUGUGGUGUUUGACUGUCUUGCCAGAUCUUGCAAUGAUAGAACUGCUAUUAGCAGGUAAAAACUACAUGAAGGCGUUUUAUCUUUCUGUAAGUCUUAUAGGUCUCCUUGAUGCACGAUGGGACAGCAACAGAAUCGUCAGGUUGUAAUAAAAUUCUAAGGCCACCAUUUCCCCAGUGAAUAGAUACUACUUUAUGCACAUAUUUAGAAAGAUGAAGAGGUAGACAGAAAAAUAGAAAAAUAAUAUCAUAGAUGGAUUGGUAGGUGGAUAGACUUCAGUCAGAAAUUGAAUUACAUUUGCACUCAUUUUCCUGUCUGAUAAGGUCACACAGCUACUAAAAAAGUAUUUUCUAAAAUUUAAGGUAAAAAAUCAACUCUGUCAAGAAAGAACUCAGACUUGGCAAUGGAAACUGAAAGGAGCCCCAAAUCCCACAUAGCUGUUAUCUGACAUCAUACAGCAACUGCCCACGGUAGAAAUGACAAUAGGGCAUCUAUUAACUAGAGAAAACCCUGAUGAAAUUUGUGGGCUUGCAGUCAGUCAGUCCUGCAAAAAUAGCAAGUGUGAGCCCUCAUGCCAAUGAACCAAGCACAUGGGAGCAGGAUUGGAAAGGAUCAGCAAAUGCUUUGCAAGCUCACCAAGGUGGCCCAGGCACUGGGUCAAGAGUCUGAGCUAAGAGUUAAAGAGAGCAUGACCAUCCCUGAAUUCCUGCCCUGUGGCAGUGCCCAGCACAGCUGGCGAGUGCCAGAGCCCCACAAGGCAGAUUUAGCUGCUGCCAGUUGGACUUUGCUCAGAAACACUCUGAGAGCCCAGUCCUGCUGGAGCACAGUUUGUGUUGGCUUCCCUCUCCCCAUGGCCCUUGCUCAGGAAAUGGAGCAGGCACCAGGCAGGCCCCACAGGCAUCAUGGCACUGGGUGUCUGCAGAGAAACGUGGAGCUCAUGAGCAGAGGGAGAUUCCCUGGCUCCUUUUUGAGGUCUUGCAUUCAUUUACAAAUUACACUGGACAAACAACAACCAUUAGGAUUAACUAAGAAUUUAUUCCUAGCACCUUGUCCCUUUGUAAAGUCUCAAAAACUUAAUUUGCAUCCUUACAUAUCCAAGCAACAGAUUUCUACUUAGAAUAAACCAUGGUUUCUAUAUUCUAAGCAACAAGAACAUGUGCAUUUCUUGAUUUACAGUUUUUUUGCUAAUCCUAGAUUAUCUUCAAGAUCAUGAGAGCUGUUACAAAAUUCAGAUGAAGAAUGCAAAAUUCACCCUCUAGAUUCAAAGCCACAGACCCCCUGCCCCCAGGACAUUAGAGAUGCCUUUCUCACCAUGCUGGAUUCCAAGUGCAGAGCUCCAGGUGCACCACUGUGGUUCUGAGUGUGAGGUUCAGAGCACUUAUGUGGACAAGUGGUGCCAUCCAGCAAAGCCUGCAGCAAAACCAUGGAAAUUUUUCAUUGACUUCUGCACAACUCAGCAUUUGCUUUGCACUAAUGAAUGAAGUAAAUGUUCAGCUGAUUGUUUCAUGCGACUUCUACUCCCAGUAUGAAACCAUUGCUUCAUUCU
rnacentral:lncRNA from 1 species